UACAGAGGGUGCGAGCGUUAAUCGGAGUUACUGGGCGUAAAGCGCGCGCAGGCGGCUCGUCAAGCCUGACGUGAAAGCCCCCGGCUCAACCGGGGAGGGUCGUCGGGGACUGGCGGGCUUGAGGUCGGCAGGGGUUGGUGGAAUUCCCGGUGUAGUGGUGAAAUGCGUAGAGAUCGGGAGGAACACCCGUGGCGAAGGCGGCCAACUGGGCCGGACCUGACGCUGAGGCGCGAAGGCGUGGGGAGCGAACGGG
rnacentral:rRNA from 1 species